rnacentral:lncRNA from 1 species
GCCUUGUACUAAAUAAACAUCUACAGAAAAAUAGCUCCAGAAAUGAAUUACAAUUAGCGACGGCGUUUGAUAAACAACCAGACCAGCAUAGCAAUCUAAUAGUGUGAACAUUAAAGAUAACACAUUACCUCAAUGGACGAUCAAAUAAUCACAAGUAUCAAGAUGACGAAAUAUCCUUGUAGUAAAUCUUCAGUGAAGAUGAAUGAUGAAUGACAAUUCCUGAGCAAGUCAACACAGGCAUCAAAGAUGACAACAUUUCCUUGUAGUAAAUCUUCAGCAAAUAUUUAAACACUCUUGCGCAAUCUACCUAGCACAAGAUAGCAAGUAUCCUCACUAUUCUACCUACACAGUGAUAACAUCUCAAAAUUAGGCAUAAUAAUGA